UACGUAGGGGGCAAGCGUUGUCCGGAAUCAUUGGGCGUAAAGCGCACGUAGGCGGCUUUCUAAGUCAGGGGUGAAAUCCUGGAGCUCAACUCCAGAACUGCCUUUGAUACUGGAGAGCUUGAGUCCGGAAGAGGUGAGUGGAACUCCGAGUGUAGAGGUGAAAUUCGUAGAUAUUCGGAAGAACACCAGUGGCGAAGGCGGCUCACUGGUCCGGUACUGACGCCGAUGUGCGAAAGCGUGGGGAGCAAACAGG
rnacentral:rRNA from 1 species